ACAAGGCCUGGUUGCCGUGGCAGCGGCAGAGGCGGCCGCGGAGGCCCGCGGUGAGGGAAGGCCAGGACCCCGCAGGAGCUAGUGGCUAGUGGCUGGAACCGCGCCAGCGCCAUGGCCACCAAAUGGUUCACUGGUGCGCCCUUCGGGGUGCAGAGCCACAGGUUUGACAUCUCUGCUGUUUAUCCCAACCGGAAGAAGCUCAGCACCUUCACUGAGGCCCCGUACUCCACGCGUUACUCUGUGGAAGUGUCCCACAUAGGCCCUGGGACCUACAGCUCCAAGGAGACCUGCUUCAGCAAGACGAAGCUGAUGAAGGAGGUGGACACAGGCUGGGCCAAGGCCCAGGAAGCCACGCGGCUGACCCAGCUACCCCACUUCCAGUACCAGGCCAUCCUGAAAGAGAAGCGGCUGCAGGAGCAAAAGCUGGGGCCUGGCUCCUACAACCUCAAAGACUUCUUAGAACAGCUGCGGGAUAAACCAUGUAGCACCCGGGGGCUGCUCAGCUCUGGGGAGGUUCGCUUCCGAGGACUCAUUGGGAACUACUACCCGGGCCCUGGAAAUUAUGGGGAGAAGGGCAACCCAUACACCAAGCUGGAGGAGAAUGCCUGGAAGCGGUCCCAUUCCGAGGGCCUCAUGUGCAGGAUGAGCAACAAGCCCCACCCGCGGGCUCAUCAGGGCAGUGGUCUGGCACCCGGCACCUACUCCAUCAAAAGUGGCAUUGAUACAUACGUGGCACGAUCCGUUGGCACGCGUGGUCCCUAUGACACUUUCUCUGGUGAUCGGAGCAAGCCGCUGCCCUAUGGACACUACUCCAUGCAGAAAAAAAAGCCCAGGGAACUGAUGAAUUUCAAGAGCUUUGUAGAAGAACUUAACUCACGUCACAAUAAGAAACAUGGGGUUUUUUCUAAACUUCCCCGCAACCCGAAAAUCCCUACGGAGAGGAUUUACUGGUCUACCCUUAGCCAGUGCCCCCGCCUUCUGGCCACGUCUGGCCCUGGUUUCUGGCUUCCGCAAGAGACGAAAUGCAGACCUGUCAACCAUCCACCGUUCCUGUUCUCCUCCAAGGGGUCAGGUGCAAAGGCCUGCCAGAUGAUUUUGGGAAGCUGGAACCCCGUAGGUGUGGGCCGCUACCUCAACACCUGGCUGAUGGAGACCAAGGACCGGCGGCAGCGAUAUCGGUCCUUAUACCUGCCUGGAUCCAAACGCUACCUCUCAGACCCGGCCCGGGACAAGCUCAUGCAAAUCUGUUUUGUUGUAAAGGUCUAGAGGUCAUCAAUUUUGGCCUCUCACCAGUCUAGGAUCUUCUGUGAAGCAUAACCAACAGGGAAAGGAUCACACCAUUUACUAAGGGGAAGUGUCCUCCAACUGUGGAUUACAAUUCAGAUCCUACUCCUUAAAGCCACACGUGAAGAACAGCUCGCAGUGACCGGAGAACCCAAAGGCCUGAAAACAAUUCUGGGGGUGAGAGCAUGGGCAUGGGAAAGCAUGGGUGUGGGAGUGGGGGGUUUUAGGGAAAGGACACACAGGAGUGCCUGGGAGAGGCGAGAGACUUGUGGAGAUCACCUUUGCCAGAGCUGUGUACCUGAAGGUCACAGUGUCUUCUGGGACAGCUGGGGGCAGAUACCUUGUUGCAGAUCAGUUAUUCUGAGAACUCAACUCAGCCAGUGACAUGAACAUGGGGGCCAGAGAGCAGAUGGACUGAAGGGAUGGGAUGUGGUGGACACUUGUGGGACCCUUUCUAUUCUAAAGCCAGAGUGCUUGGCUCCUUGUUUAUUAAAGUUAGAAAGUGGUGGGA